AUCCAACUGACGAGUCCCAAAUAGAACGAAACACGCGUCUUAGAU
rnacentral:hammerhead_ribozyme from 1 species